CGUGAGCAAUCUGCCCCUCGACUCUGGGAUAAGCGCUGGAAACGGCGUCUAAUACUGGAUACGAACCGUGGAGGCAUCUUCAACGGUUGGAAAGAUUUUUGGUCAGGGAUGAGCUCGCGGCCUAUCAGCUUGUUGGUGAGGUAAUGGCUCACCAAGGCGUCGACGGGUAGCCGGCCUGAGAGGGUGACCGGCCACACUGGGACUGAGACACGGCCCAGACUCCUACGGGAGGCAGCAGCC
rnacentral:rRNA from 1 species